rnacentral:lncRNA from 10 species
GAUAGGACAAUAAACAAAUGCUAAAUGAAGAAAUCAAAUCAAGCAUCAACACCUAGGAGACUCUAAGCAGGAUACACUGGCACCUGGCAAGAUACAGUCAUCAACACCUAGAAGGACACGUGGGUCAGGAGUUCCUAAAUGACAGCCCUUGAUCCUGAUUGGUUCACAGGAAUGAUUGGUUUGACCAACAACGAUUUUUAAAGGAUGAAUAUUGAUGCCUUUCAAUGGAGCAUGUCUAUGGGGCCUGGUUCCAUUAGAGCACCCCUCUCCCCAACUUCCUAUUCACCGCAUCACUCACAUUUACAUAUCCCACGAGACCAUCAAAGGCAUUUGAUUUUGUGAAUAUAAAUUUAUUAUGCCUGCCUGAGAACAGAAGUAAUAAGAAUGUUUUCUACCUUUUCAUUUUACCUCCACUAUAGCUCCCAAGAGAUGUUACAUGGACAAGAAGGGCACAAAGAAGUUUAUACUUCCUGCUCUAGAUUAAUUGUAUCCCGAUACAACACAGGAAGGACAUGGGCUUGAAAUGAACAGACUUGGGCCCAGAUUCUAGCUCCAUCAUUUGCUUCUUUAUCCAGAGCCUCCAAUUCAUUUGCCUUCCAGAGUUUCUGCAGUGAUCAGCAAAACCAUCUGACACAGGGGACCACACAGCGGGAACUCAAUAAAUGCUAAUUCCUUCUCUCAUCCUGUUGCAGAGUCAGCCCAAACCUCUCUCCAAUAUCUUCUACAGGGAAAAGAUCUCUUGGGCUCACCCAGGCUGGGCUGUGGUGUGCAAUUCUUCAUUAAGAGAUAUGAAGAGCCCAGAAAUGGAAAAGCUGGAAUAAAGGAAUGCAGAGUGGGGCUGCCUGUUUUGUUCCUUUUGCAAACACACACAAACAUGAUGAUGGGGAGCAGCACCAGGGACAUGUCAAAGAUGACAGCAGCACUGGUCAGGUGCAAAUUGCCCUUCGAAAAAUGCCUAAGGCAGCACAGCUUUUGGCAGUCUUUUUUUUUUUUCUUUUCUAAUCAAGGCAAAGAUUUCUCUAAAAAAGCACAUAGUAAAGGAAGCCAAAGGAAUGUUAGUGCCUGUCUCUAGAAGCCACAUUUAUCUAUUUUUAGUCCCCAGCAAAGCCCAGUACACUGUAAUCAGUAUAAUAACAUGCUGUCUUUCAUAAAGACAGAUGACACAGUUGACCUUCAGUCCCCAUCUGGACACAGGACGUGUGCUGUGGGUUGUUUUGUCAGCUGUGGGCUUGGAUUAUUUGUCUGUACCCUCUCAUCUAGUUUGGAUCAGAACCAGGCAUUUUCAGGAAGACUAGAAAAUAUGAGUGUGGGGUCAACUGGACCUCUGAAAAAAGAAUUGGUAGAUGUGAAGUCUGAAGGCAUCAUGGGUGGAAUUAGUAUGGAAUUUUGCUCAAGUUACUUACUUCUGUAAAGACCUACUGGCCCCUUAUACUUUGUGGAAUAAAAUCUUCACCUUGAUCUUUUUCACCCAAGUUGGUAACUCAAUGCAGUCUUCCUGCUGGACCACUUCCUCAAUCUUGGGACAUCAAAUAUAUACUCUCAACCUCCUUGAACACAAUAAAACUUAACUUUCUCCAGGUAGGAAGCCAUGAACACUGCAUAUUGCACAUGGGACCUAAAGACAUGGGAGGAAGAAACAGCAUCAGGUUGUCUCACGUGGUGAAGCUUUCAGAAUACCCUCCCUUACAGGCAGCACUGUCCAUCCACUUGGAACCUUCUCUUCCUACUCUCCACAGCAAUCUUAACCAUCUCUCUGGCUUCAGGCUGCUCUUCUUCCAACUAGACUGGGUUCAUCCCACUAGAUGACCCAGGCUUUUCAAUAUUGCAUGUAAAUGUUAUGGCUCUUUCAGUCCCUGCCUACUCCUGAGUCAUUGGUCUCCAAAUCUCAAUGUCAUUCUGCUAGUCCUGGGAAAAGUACAAAGAAAUCUCUUACCAAGCCUCAUUUUCCUCACUUGUAAUGUACAGAUGACUUCUUAGUUCCCUUCCAGUUUGAAAUCCUAGUCCCAAGAAUGGCUUUUCCAACUGUGAGCAACCUGAUACAAGCCUAUCAUCAUUGGAUAUAAUUGGGCUAUAUACAUACAGGUAGAAACAGGUAUAACUAUACACAGAAGACUCAUCUUUUAUACAUGCCAUCACAACCUACAAUUGUAUGUAAAGACCUUAGUCAUUUACAUUGUAGCAUUCAACCUUCACAAUAAAGUUAAUAAAGGCAAGGGCAGGUGUUGCCACUCAAAUUCAGAUCUUCUGACUUUAGGGCCAGGGCUCUCUAUGUGACCCCACACUGUAUCCCUGGUAAGCAGAGGCACUGGGAGCUUAUACGCCUCAGAGAGAGUGGGUAAUGGAGUAUUCUCCCCUCUGAGUCCUCUGAGCUGGUAUAAUGCUAUAGUUAAGAUCAGGCCCUGCAUCAGACUGAGCUAAAUUUGAAUCUUAUAAUUUAGUAGCUGUGUACUGUUGAGCAAGCUAUUCAACUUCUCUGAACCUCAAGUUAGCAUUCUGUAAAAUGAGGGAAUUAAUAAUAUCACAAUGGAGUUAUGAGGAUUUAAUGAGGUAGUUCAUGGAAGUGCUUAACACAGAUCUAGCACAUAGUGCCCCCAAAAUAAUAGUAUUAUUUAGAUUAAUAUUGUAUAUUAACUUGCAUUGAUUCCCAAAGUAUUUCCUGCCCUGUCUGUUCAGAAUCAUUUUAAUUUUUAAAAUCCAGGAGCAAUACACUACUCCUAGUGGAGAACUUGAAUCCAAGGUGAGAUUAGAUGAGCAGGUUCAGAAAGGAUGUUCAAGAAACUUGAUGGAAGAAAAGGUACCACUUGUAGAACUCUGUGGUCUUUCAGAUUGUUGUAAUGCCAGUGAUUCAUUAUAGCCAACACAGAGCAAAUCAUUUGUUAAUAAACAGAGCAUCUCACAAGGAAUGCUAACAGGUCUCUUUAAAGGAGCACCAAUCCCAUAAAAAGCCAAAAGUAAGAAUAAAUAAUAGCAAGAAGCUUGACAUUCAAUGCAGGACAUAUUUCCUGCAUGGGGCCUGCUCGGAACACUUAAAGGUCCAUCUGGAAACAGCAUCAUGCAGAAGCGAGGUCUGCAGCCAGGUCAAGCCAAGCCACCUUUCAUGCUGAGACCCCGACUCUUCUGAAGUUACAAAGUUCAAGGUGAAUCCUCUUCCACAUCCCAGAUAACCAGCUGCCACUCAGGCAUUCCUGAUAAAAGUUCAUCCAGGCUUAGAGUGAAUGAAGUAUUAGGGAGAUAACGAAAAAGUACCCAGGGUCAAAUACAAUGGAAUCCACUUCUCAAACCAGCCCACGACUGUUGAGUGUGCAGCUCCUAUAUUCUCUAGGAAUCCUCUCUCAGAUACAUCUGGUACUUCUAAAUCGGUUUCAUCUUUUAGAUGUAUAUGGAAGAGUGGAGGUUUAAGUAUCUUGGGAGGAAAUCUAAGGAGAUACAGAAUAGAACAAAGUGAAGUGCUGUGAUCCAAAACUGGGGAUCCCUGGGUUCUGCCUCUGCCUGUGGCUUGUGCGCUAUCUAUGACCCAUGGCUCGCAGUUCUGAUGGAGGCUGACCCUCCACCUGUGAAUAUGCUCAGUGGAAAUGAAAGCUUCCAAGUUGGGGAGGGCAAGAAGACUCUUAAGCCUUUCAUACCCUGAGGUUCUAUUUCCCUUCCUUUCUCUGGUCCUCAGUUUCUUAAUCUGUAAAGCAUGGAGCCUAAGCAGGCCUCUCUAGACCAUACAUGAUAUGCUACAGGUCUUCUUGAAUCCAAGGGGUCAUCAGACAUCCUCUUUCUUCAGCCUAGCUCUGGCCUUAAGCCAAUUCCUGCCCACCUUUUAAAAAAUGUGCCUGUGUCACUGACUACCCCGAUGUUCAGCUCUGGAGUUGGAAGUAGGAUCUGAUCAUAGCAUCCUCAGUGGAAGGCAUUUACCACAUGACAUAUAGAUUAACUCUGGGAAGACAUGCUUAGCACCAAUGGCACAUUUAGUCUUUCCUGGGCAGAACCUGACAAAUCUAACCAUUUCUGAAGCAGGGCCUUAUACUCAGGGCGACCCACUGGUUUAUCAUCCAAAUAGGGAUACUUCUGAGAGUGACAAGGGUCACUAACGGCUAUUAAUUAAUUAAUAUUAAUUAAAUGACUAAGGGGUAUUAAUAAAUACACCUGAACCACAGGACUGUCCCAGGUAUCCUAGGACUUAAGGUCAUCAUACUUAAACGUAUUUAUGGAGGAGAGCCUGUGAUAAUUUCAUCAUUAGCCCAAGACAAGAACAGAUGCCCCAGUGUGGACAUGCAUGGGGUCAGAUUUGGUUAUCACAUAGGCCUGAGGACACUGCUGGCAUUGAGCUGGUGGGCAUCAGGGAUGCUAAAUGUCCUGCAAUGUACAAAAUAAUCCCACACAACAGAGAAUUAUCUGGCUCAAAAUGGCCAAAAUUUCCCUACUGAAAAAUACUGAUAUGGUGGGAUAAGAAUAAUUGUAAACAAUGAUAUAAAACGCAGGAUGACAACUUCAAAUGCCUUCAGGGCCAGUCAGGAAUUGGAAGAUCUAUGCCCCUUCUUAAGGAGUUUAAAUUUAAGUCUUUAAAACAAUGCCAAACAAUUUCCAUCCAUAUGCACUAAAUUUGGCUUUUGGCCUCCAGAUUGUGGACUUCUAAUAGACAUUUACUGAUCAGAAAUUAUGUCUAUGUUAUAUUAAGUAAAAACGAAAAGCUACAGCGUAAUCCCAUUAUAUGCGUGUGUGUGUGUGUGUGUGUGUGUGUAUGCAUUCUCUCUUCAUACAUAUAUAAGGAGGGAGAAGAUUCCUAUAUGUAUGUAUGUCAGUCCAUACAUGUAUGUACAUAUGUGUAUGUACACCAAAAUUCUGGAAGAAUAUAGAAUGAAAUUUAGAGUGACAAAGAGAGUAGAUGACCUGAAGUAUAGGUAUUUUCCCCUUUAAAGUUUUCCAUAGCCAUGGACAAAUAUGAACAUUUUUAGCAGCUAUUGGCAACUACUUAUGAUGAAGGCCCCCUGGGAAUAGUCUAUGAAAAGAAACAGCAGCCACAACUCUAGGGUCUGUGCCUGUGAUUGUCAUCACAUCCCAAAUGAUUUUUCCUAACCCUCAAUCAGACUUCUGAUGGGCAUAAAUCCACACCCCUGGGCUCAGCCUGUUGACCCACAGGAAUUAGAGCAAUGUUGAAGGGUGGGGUGCAUACUGGUGGGGAAUGGGAGGGAACUGGUUGCAAAGGAGCAAACCAUUCUCCACUCGCAUGUUAUACUGUGAGGAAAACACGUGCCCAGGCCACCAAGGCAAUCAUUUCUGGGCUCGAAAACAGGAAGAAAUUCACUAAACACUAUGUCGCCAACACAAAGAGUGGAGAAGAUUUGCCAAGAGUGCAGUCCUGUCUUGACCGGGACAUCAGCAUUAAAGGCAGGACCCACUGCCAAGCUCAUGAUUUCUGAAGCAAAGGGGCAGCCACUUGCCUUAGGCCUCCUCUAAUGGCUCUCAGAUAAUCUUAACUUGGGCCUGUAGAUGACAAGGGGUCACUGGGACUCUUUUCCCAUUUACGUGGGAGGAGAUGACUUUUCUAAGCCCCUCAACCUCCAUGAUUUCCCCCACUCUCAUAACAAUCCUAUAAUGAGCUGGGCCCCUUCCAUGUACUAACUCAUUUAAUCCUAACAAUAACCCUAUGAGGCAAGCAUUACUGUCCCCAUUUUACUGAUGAAGAAACAGAGACUCAGGGAGGUUAAGUCUCACAGCUAGUCAGUGUCAGGUUUCAAGUCUAGACUUGUCAGUGCCACAGCCUUUAACUUCCUGUGUUCACCCACCAUUGCACACCUUCAAGGAGCGGCAGACAGAGCUGAGGUAGGUCCUUCAUGGGCAAUGUAACCAUUGCAGCUAGCGCUACUUGAGGAAAAUGUCCAAAGACACAAGGGGCUCUGGAACUGGGCCUUUGGAGACAGGACGUGGACUGACCAUCCAAUUGAUCUGCUGUGCCACUGACCCAGAAAUCAGCCAGAAAUUUCCUCGAUAAUGUCUGAUAAAAUUAAAGAGCAACGGUAGUGAGAAUUGAAUGUGGAGAAAGUGAUCACUUUCUUUUUUCUUUUUUUUUAAAACGGAGUUUUGCUCUUGUUGCCCAGGCUGGAGUGCAGUGGCAUGAUCUCGGCUCACUGCAACCUCUGCCUUGUGAGUUCAAGCAAUUCUCCUGCCUCAGCCUCCAGAGUAGCU